UAUGAACGCUAGCUACAGGCUUAACACAUGCAAGUCGAGGGGCAGCACAGUGUAGCAAUACAUGGGUGGCGACCGGCGCACGGGUGCGUAACGCGUAUCCAACCUUCCCGUUACUCAGGGAUAGCCUUCCGAAAGGGAGAUUAAUACCUGAUGGUGUUCAAAUUCCGCAUGUUAUUUGAACUAAAGAUUUAUCGGUAACGGAUGGGGAUGCGUGACAUUAGGUAGAUGGCGGGGUAACGCCCACCAUGCCCACGAUGUCUAGGGGUUCUGAGAGGAAGGUCCCCCACACUGGAACUGAGACACGGUCCAGACUCCUACGGGAGGCAGCAGUGAGGAAUAUUGGGUCCAAUGGUCGGAAGACUGAACCAGCCAAGUAGCGUGAAGGAUGAAGGUUUUANGGAUUGUAAA
rnacentral:rRNA from 1 species